AAGCCUGAUGCAGCCAUGCCGCGUGUAUGAAGAAGGCCUUCGGGUUGUAAAGUACUUUCAGCGGGGAGGAAGGUGUUGAGGUUAAUAACCUCAGCAAUUGACGUUACUCGCAGAAGAAGCACCGGCUAACUCCGUGCCAGCAGCCGCGGUAAUACGGAGGGUGCAAGCGUUAAUCGGAAUUACUGGGCGUAAAGCGCGCGUAGGUGGUUUGAUAAGCGAGAUGUGAAAGCCCCGGGCUUAACCUGGGAACGGCAUUUCGAACUGUCAGGCUAGAGUAUGGUAGAGGAGUGUGGAAUUUCCUGUGUAGCGGUGAAAUGCGUAGAUAUAGGAAGGAACACCAGU
rnacentral:rRNA from 1 species